rnacentral:rRNA from 1 species
ACUCAAAGGAAUUGACGGGGACCCGCACAAGCAGCGGAGCAUGUGGUUUAAUUCGAAGCAACGCGAAGAACCUUACCUGGACUUGACAUCCCUGUGACCGCUACUUAAUCGUAGCCUUCCCUUCGGGGACACAGGAGACAGGUGGUGCAUGGUUGUCGUCAGCUCGUGUCGUGAGAUGUUGGGUUAAGUCCCGCAACGAGCGCAACCCCUGUUUUUAGUUGCCAGCAAGUGAAGUUGGGCACUCUAAAGAGACUGCCAAGGUAAACUUGGAGGAAGGUGGGGAUGACGUCAAAUCAUCAUGCCCCUUAUGUUCAGGGCUACACACGUGCUACAAUGGCCGAUACAACGGGCAGCUAAAGAGUAAUCUGGAGCCAAUCCUAAAAAAUCGGUCUUAGUUCGGAUUGUGGGCUGCAACUCGCCCACAUGAAGUCGGAGUUGCUAGUAAUCGCGGAUCAGCAUGUCGCGGUGAAUGCGUUCCCGGGUCUUGUACACACCGCCCGU